UACAGAGGGGGCGAGCGUUGUUCGGAAUUACUGGGCGUAAAGGGCGCGUAGGCGGCCUGUUAAGUCGGACGUGAAAUCCCUCGGCUCAACCGGGGAACUGCGUCCGAUACUGGCGGGCUUGAAUUCGGGAGAGGGAUGUGGAAUUCCAGGUGUAGCGGUGAAAUGCGUAGAUAUCUGGAGGAACCCCGGUGGCGAAGGCGGCCAUCUGGACGGAUACUGACGCUGAGACGCGAAAGCGUGGGUAGCAAACAGG
rnacentral:rRNA from 1 species